GACGAACGCUGGCGGCGUGCCUAAUACAUGCAAGUCGAACGCUUUUUCUUUCACCGGAGCUUGCUCCAUCGAAAGAAAAAGAGUGGCGAACGGGUGAGUAACACGUGGGUAACCUGCCCAUCAGAAGGGGAUAACACUUGGAAACAGGUGCUAAUGCCGUAUAACACUAUUUUCCGCAUGGAAGAAAGUUGAAAGGCGCUUUUGCGUCACUGAUGGAUGGACCCGCGGUGCAUUAGCUAGUUGGUGAGGUAACGGCUCACCAAGGCAACGAUGCAUAGCCGGCCUGAGAGGGUGAUCGGCCACACUGGGACUGAGACACGGCCCAGACUCCUACGGGAGGCAGCAGUAGGGAAUCUUCGGCAAUGGACGAAAGUCUGACCGAGCAACGCCGCGUGAGUGAAGAAGGUUUUCGGAUCGUAAAACUCUGUUGUUAGAGAAGAACAAGGAUGAGAGUAGAACGUUCAUCCCUUGACGGUAUCUAACCAGAAAGCCACGGCUAACUACGUGCCAGCCGCCGCCGUAA
rnacentral:rRNA from 1 species